AUGAAAAAGAUGAUGAGGAGAGCGAAGAACAAAAGGAGGAAGAGCGGAUUAGCUACCCGUGCCCACCUUCUAAUGAGAGUAACUCUUGAACUCAUACAUUGUUUAAUUUCCCUUCGUGCUUACCGAAGGAUGAUUACUAUGAUCCCUUUUGAUGAUGCUUGCUAUGCUUGUGGCCAAGAUGCCAAUAUGAAUUAUGCUUAUGGAGAUGAACUUGCUAUAGUUCCUUAUGUUAAACAUGAAAUUGUUGCUAUUGCACCCUCGCAUGGUAGUCCUAUUAUCUUUUUGAAUUCUCCCUACUACACUUUAUCGGAGAAGUUUGUGCUUAUUAAGGAUUAUAUUGAUGGGUUGCCUUUUACUACUACACAUGAUGAUUUUUAUAGAUAUAAUAUGCAUGUUCUUGCUGCUCCUAAUUGCAAUUAUUAUGAGAGAGGAACUACAUCUCCGCCUCUUUAUGUUUCCAACACGAUAGAAUUGCAAGAAACUGCUUAUACUAUGCAUUGGCCUUUACUAUGUGUGCAUGAAUUGUUCUUUUAUGACAUGCCGAUGCAUAGAAAGAGAGUUAGACUUUGUUAUUUCUUGAUAUAUGUUACUUUGUGA
rnacentral:rRNA from 1 species